rnacentral:rRNA from 1 species
GACGAACGCUGGCGGCGUGCCUAAUACAUGCAAGUCGAGAGGACCGAACAGGAGCUUGCUCUUGUUCGGUUAGCGGCGGACGGGUGAGUAACACGUGGGUAACCUGCCCGUAAGACCGGGAUAACUCCGGGAAACCGGAGCUAAUACCGGAUAACACCGAAGACCGCAUGGUCUUUGGUUGAAAGGCGGCUUCGGCUGCCACUUACGGAUGGGCCCGCGGCGCAUUAGCUAGUUGGUGAGGUAACGGCUCACCAAGGCGACGAUGCGUAGCCGGCCUGAGGGGGUGACCGGCCACACUGGGACUGAGACACGGCCCAGACUCCUACGGGAGGCAGCAGUAGGGAAUCUUCCGCAAUGGACGAAAGUCUGACGGAGCGACGCCGCGUGAGCGAAGAAGGUCUUCGGAUCGUAAAGCUCUGUUGUUAGGGAAGAAGAAGCGUCGUUCGAACAGGGCGGCGCGGUGACGGUACCUAACGAGAAAGCCCCGGCUAACUACGUG